rnacentral:lncRNA from 1 species
UGGUAAUCCAGGACAGCAGAGUUUUUAUCCAGUUUGGUGACUUCAUCAACCACGAGAGUAUCCCUAUGUUGCCUUUCUCCAGCUCCCCUUCAAAAUUCUUGAGAAAGGUGACACCUCCAUCUGCAAACAUUCCCCUGAAGCAGAAGUUAUAAACUGAAUAGUCCACGUUUGUAAGUUCAAAGGGCACCAGCGUGUGGCCAGCCUCCUCCAAGAGCUGCUUUGUC